AUCCUUGAAUUUAUGAGUUGUAAUAUAGGUACAGAAAGCAAUAGUAUGAACAUGCUUCAAUAGUUCAAUUGACCACCUAAAGUACAAAGGGACUUCUCCUUAUCCAAAUUGCUCAAUAAUACACAAAAUUCAAUUAUUGUUACAUUAGUUACAAUGUGGGAUUCCAAAAGAAUGUGUAUCUAGUAACUAGUGAAUUAUCUAUGUGCUUGCUAAAGGACAAUAAGGGUCAUUACCCGUUUUGAACGAAUUUUGGUGUGUUUAAGGGAUAUGGAAGAUUUUUAUAUGGAAGUUGUAAAAAUCUCUCUCUCUCUC
rnacentral:lncRNA from 1 species